GCCCGCUCAGAAACUCAAAGGAAUUGACGGGGGCCCGCACAAGCGGUGGAGUAUGUGGUUUAAUUCGAUGCAACGCGAAGAACCUUACCUAGGUUUGACAUCCGGAAGACCUUCCCGAAAAGGAAGGGUGCCCUUCGGGGAAUUCCGAGACAGGUGCUGCAUGGCUGUCGUCAGCUCGUGCCGUGAGGUGUUGGGUUAAGUCCCGCAACGAGCGCAACCCUAUUGCCAGUUGCUACCAGGUAAUGCUGGGCACUCUGGUGAGACUGCCCCGGUUAACGGGGAGGAAGGUGGGGACGACGUCAAGUCAUCAUGGCCCUUACGCCUAGGGCUACACACGUACUACAAUGGCGCAUACAAAGGGCAGCGAUACCGCGAGGUGGAGCCAAUCCCAAAAAGUGCGUCCCAGUCCGGAUUGCAGUCUGCAACUCGACUGCAUGAAGUUGGAAUCGCUAGUAAUUCGAGAUCAGCAUGCUCGGGUGAAUGCGUUCCCGGGCCUU
rnacentral:rRNA from 1 species